rnacentral:rRNA from 1 species
UAUCCAGACUCCUACGGGAGGCAGCAGUGGGGGAUAUUGCACAAUGGGGGGAACCCUGAUGCAGCGACGCCGCGUGAGCGAUGAAGUAUUUCGGUAUGUAAAGCUCUAUCAGCAGGGAAGAAGAUGACGGUACCUGACUAAGGAGCCCCGGCUAACUACGUGCCAGCAGCCGCGGUAAUACGUAGGGGGCGAGCGUUAUCCGGAUUUACUGGGUGUAAAGGGAGCGUAGACGGCGAUGCAAGCCAGAUGUGAAAGCCCGGGGCUCAACCCCGGGACUGCAUUUGGAACUGUGUGGCUGGAGUGUCGGAGAGGCAGGCGGAAUUCCUAGUGUAGCGGUGAAAUGCGUAGAUAUCAGGAGGAACACCGGCGGCGAAGGCGGCUUACUGGACGGCAACUGACGUUGAGGCCCGAAAGCGUGGGGAGCGAACAGGAUUAGAUACCCCUGUAC